rnacentral:rRNA from 1 species
GAUGAACGCUGGCGGCGUGCCUAAUACAUGCAAGUCGAGCGAAUGGAUUAAGAGCUUGCUCUUAUGAAGUUAGCGGCGGACGGGUGAGUAACACGUGGGUAACCUGCCCAUAAGACUGGGAUAACUCCGGGAAACCGGGGCUAAUACCGGAUAACAUUUUGAACCGCAUGGUUCGAAAUUGAAAGGCGGCUUCGGCUGUCACUUAUGGAUGGACCCGCGUCGCAUUAGCUAGUUGGUGAGGUAACGGCUCACCAAGGCAACGAUGCGUAGCCGACCUGAGAGGGUGAUCGGCCACACUGGGACUGAGACACGGCCCAGACUCCUACGGGAGGCAGCAGUAGGGAAUCUUCCGCAAUGGACGAAAGUCUGACGGAGCAACGCCGCGUGAGUGAUGAAGGCUUUCGGGUCGUAAAACUCUGUUGUUAGGGAAGAACAAGUGCUAGUUGAAUAAGCUGGCACCUUGACGGUACCUAACCAGAAAGCCACGGCUAACUACGUGCCAGCAGCCGCUGUAACAC